UACAGAGAGUGCAAGCGUUAAUCGGAAUUACUGGGCGUAAAGCGCGCGUAGGUGGGUAUUUAAGUCGGAUGUGAAAGCCCUGGGCUUAACCUAGGAAUUGCAUUCGAUACUGGAUAUCUAGAGUAUGGUAGAGGGAAGCGGAAUUUCCGGUGUAGCGGUGAAAUGCGUAGAUAUCGGAAAGAACACCAGUGGCGAAGGCGGCUUCCUGGACCAAUACUGACACUGAAGCGCGAAAGCGUGGGGAGCAAACAGG
rnacentral:rRNA from 1 species